rnacentral:rRNA from 1 species
AACGAACGCUGGCGGCAUGCCUAACACAUGCAAGUCGAACGAGACCUUCGGGUCUAGUGGCGCACGGGUGCGUAACGCGUGGGAACCUGCCCUUAGGUUCGGAAUAACUCCCCGAAAGGGGUGCUAAUACCGGAUAAUGUCUUCGGACCAAAGAUUUAUCGCCUUUGGUUGGGCCCGCGUUGGAUUAGCUAGUUGGUAGGGUAAAAGCAUACCAAGGCGACGAUCCAUAGCUGGUCUGAGAGGAUGAUCAGCCACACUGGGACUGAGACACAGCCCAGACUCCUACGGGAGGCAGCAGUGGGGAAUAUUGGACAAUGGGCGAAAGCCUGAUCCAGCAAUGCCGCGUGAAUGAUGAAGGCCUUAGGGUUGUAAAGCUCUUUUACCCGGGAUGAUAAUGACAGUACCGGGAGAAUAAGCUCCGGCUAACUCCGUG